rnacentral:rRNA from 1 species
AUUGAACGCUGGCGGCAGGCCUAACACAUGCAAGUCGAACGAGUGGCGGACGGGUGAGUAAUGUCUGGGAAACUGCCAGAUGGAGGGGGAUAACUACUGGAAACGGUAGCUAAUACCGCAUACCAUCGGAUGUGCCCAGAUGGGAUUAGCUAGUAGGUGGGGUAACGGCUAACCUAGGCGACGAUCCCUAGCUGGUCUGAGAGGAUGACCAGCCACACUGGAACUGAGACACGGUCCAGACUCCUACGGGAGGCAGCAGUGGGGAAGAUUGCACAAUGGGCGCAAGCCUGAUGCAGCCAUGCCGCGUGUAUGAAGAAGGCCUUCGGGUUGUAAAGUACUUUCAGUCGGGAGGCGUUACCCACAGAAGAAGCACCGGCUAACUCCGUGCCAGCCGCCGCGGUAAUAC